rnacentral:rRNA from 1 species
UACGUAGGGUGCGAGCGUUGUCCGGAAUUACUGGGCGUAAAGAGCUCGUAGGUGGUUUGUCGCGUUGUUCGUGAAAUUCCCUGGCUUAACUGGGGGCGUGCGGGCGAUACGGGCAGACUGGAGUACUGCAGGGGAGACUGGAAUUCCCGGUGUAGUGGUGGAAUGCGUAGAUAUCGGGAGGAACACCAGUGGCGAAGGCGGUUGCCUGGAGCUUUGCUGACGCUGAUGCGCGAAAGCGUGGGGAGCGAUCCGG